rnacentral:rRNA from 1 species
GAUGAACGCUGGCGGCGUGCCUAAUACAUGCAAGUCGAGCGAACGGACGAGAAGCUUGCUUCUCUGAUGUUAGCGGCGGACGGGUUAGUAACACGUGGAUAACCUACCUAUAAGACUGGGAUAACUUCGGGAAACCGGAGCUAAUACCGGCUGAUAUUUUGAACCGCAUGGUUCAAAAGUGAAAGACGGUCUUGCUGUCACUUAUAGAUGGAUCCGCGCUGCAUUAGCUAGUUGGUAAGGUAACGGCUUACCAAGGCAACGAUGCAUAGCCGACCUGAGAGGGUGAUCGGCCACACUGGAACUGAGACACGGUCCAGACUCCUACGGGAGGCAGCAGUAGGGAAUCUUCCGCAAUGGGCGAAAGCCUGACGGAGCAACGCCGCGUGAGUGAUGAAGGUCUUCGGAUCGUAAAACUCUGUUAUUAGGGAAGAACAUAUGUGUAAGUAACUGUGCACAUCUUGACGGUACCUAAUCAGAAAGCCACGGCUAACUACGUG